rnacentral:tRNA from 1 species
UGCCAUAGCUCAGUUGGUAGAGCAAAGGACUGAAAAUCCUUGUGUCCCCGGUUCGAUUCCUGGU